rnacentral:rRNA from 1 species
AUUGAACGCUGGCGGCAGGCCUAACACAUGCAAGUCGAGCGCGCGGCGGACGGGUGAGUAAUGUCUGGGAAACUGCGUGAAGGAGGGGGGUAACAACUGGAAACGGUGGCGAAUACCGCGUACACUCAGAUGUGCCCCGAUGGGAUGAGCUAGUAGGUGGGGUAACGGCUCACCAAGGCGACGAUCCCUAGCCGGUCUGAGAGGAUGACCCGCCGCACUGGAACUGAGACACGGUCCAGACUCCUACGGGAGGCAGCAGUGGGGAAUAUUGCACAAUGGGCGAAAGCCUGAUGCAGCCAUGCCGCGUGUGUGAAGAAGGCUUUCGGGUUGUAAAGCACUUUCAGCGGGGAGGCGUUACCCGCAGAAGAAGCACCGGCUAACUCCGUGCCAGCAGCCGCGGUAAUUC